UACGUAGGGUGCGAGCGUUAAUCGGAAUUACUGGGCGUAAAGGGUGCGCAGGCGGUUUUGUAAGCCAGAUGUGAAAGCCCCGGGCUUAACCUGGGAAUGGCAUUUGGGACUGCAAGGCUAGAGUGUGGCAGAGGAGACUGGAAUUCCUGGUGUAGCAGUGAAAUGCGUAGAUAUCAGGAGGAAUACCGAUGGCGAAGGCAGGUCUCUGGGCUGAGCACUGACCAGCUCAUGA
rnacentral:rRNA from 1 species